AGUCGUCUGUUGUGUUUGUGGUUGACCAUAUCCCCUGAGCCGAUAAAUAAACACAUAAGGAGAUGCGAUAGCUUACUAUUGAGCAAGCCCACCUCGAAGUGGGAAGCCUGCGGUGAUCUUCAAACUUCCGCCUUGAGCCUUCUUGGUUCAGGUUUCGUUCAGCACGACACAAUAGAUCUUUU
rnacentral:other from 2 species